GACGAACGCUGGCGGCGUGCCUAAUACAUGCAAGUCGAGCGGACCACUUCGGUGGUCAGCGGCGGACGGGUGUGUAACACGUGGGCAACCUGCCUGUAAGACUGGGAUAACACCGGGAAACCGGUGCUAAUACCGGAUAAUCCUUUCCUUCACAUGAAGGAAAGCUGAAAGACGGUUUCGGCUGUCACUUACAGAUGGGCCCGCGGCGCAUUAGCUAGUUGGUGAGGUAACGGCUCACCAAGGCGACGAUGCGUAGCCGACCUGAGAGGGUGAUCGGCCACACUGGGACUGAGACACGGCCCAGACUCCUACGGGAGGCAGCAGUAGGGAAUCUUCCGCAAUGGACGAAAGUCUGACGGAGCAACGCCGCGUGAGCGAUGAAGGCCUUCGGGUCGUAAAGCUCUGUUGUCAGGGAAGAACAAGUACCGGAGUAACUGCCGGUACCUUGACGGUACCUGACCAGAAAGCCACGGCUAACUACGUGCCAGCCGCCGCAGUAACAC
rnacentral:rRNA from 1 species